rnacentral:rRNA from 1 species
GCCAGACUCCUACGGGAGGCAGCAGUGGGGGAUAUUGCACAAUGGGGGAAACCCUGAUGCAGCGACGCCGCGUGGGUGAAGAAGCGCCUCGGCGCGUAAAGCCCUGUCAGCAGGGAAGAAAAUGACGGUACCUGAAGAAGAAGCCCCGGCUAACUACGUGCCAGCAGCCGCGGUAAUACGUAGGGGGCAAGCGUUAUCCGGAUUUACUGGGUGUAAAGGGAGCGUAGACGGCAUGGCAAGUCAGAUGUGAAAGCCCGGGGCUCAACCCCGGGACUGCAUUUGAAACUGUCAGGCUGGAGUGCAGGAGAGGUAAGUGGAAUUCCUAGUGUAGCGGUGAAAUGCGUAGAUAUUAGGAGGAACACCGGCGGCGAAGGCGGCCUGCUGGACCGUAACUGACGUUGAGGCUCGAAAGCGUGGGGAGCAAACAGGAUUAGAUACCCGAGUAGA